rnacentral:rRNA from 1 species
GAACGCCCCGCAAGGGGAGUGGCAGACGGGUGAGUAACGCGUGGGAAUCUACCCANGUUCUUGCGGAAUAACACAGGGAAACUUGUGCUAAUACCGGAUACGCCCUACGGGGGAAAGAUUUAUCGGGAUUGGAUGAGCCCGCGUUGGAUUAGCUAGUUGGUGGGGUAAUGGCCUACCAAGGCGACGAUCCAUAGCUGGUCUGAGAGGAUGAUCAGCCACACUGGGACUGAGACACGGCCCAGACUCCUACGGGAGGCAGCAGUGGGGAAUAUUGGACAAUGGGCGAAAGCCUGAUCCAGCCAUGCCGCGUGAGUGAUGAAGGCCUUAGGGUUGUAAAGCUCUUUCAGUGGGGAAGAUAAUGACGGUACCCACAGAAGAAGCCCCGGCUAACUUCGUG